rnacentral:lncRNA from 1 species
GCACAGUUGGUCCAUAUGAUAUGUUAUGAUAAGGGAAAGACCGGUUGACCCAUUCUACGUCCCGGCACAGUUGGACCUAUGUAGAGGACUAUAGGUGACAAUACCAUCCGAGAUGUGAUUUGUUGUGAUGUGUUGCAUUCCAUGAAAGCAUAAAAUUUUAAAAUAAUGUUUUAUACUAUUUUGCUCACUGGGCUUUGUAGCUCACCCCUCUCCCCUAACCCCAGAUGUGCAGGUACA